GGGUGAGUGGCUUUGUUGGAUGGGGAAAACCUUGUGAUGUGGUGCAGUGAACAACCCUCGUAGCUUUCCCUCUUCUAGUUGGUGUGUGCUGUGCAGUCAAAUAUUUGAUGCCAAGAGCAUAUUUUUCUGCAGAUAAGUUGAUGGGUUAUUGAUGAAUGUGUGGAACGAAGAAUUGGUGGUGUUAUUGAAGCCUUGAAGGAGAAGAUGUAGAUGAGAUAGAUGAGCAAGCCAGAUAUGAUGAGGAGAGAUUUGAACAGGUUGUAGUUUGAGCAUGGUGCAACUUAUUUAAAAUUCUACAUUACUUUUCUUA